rnacentral:misc_RNA from 1 species
UAUAACCCCGGUAACCCCGUCGCUGGCGUCGUGCGCUGGCACCGCGCGACCAAACAGGAUGACCCAAUCUGAACCCUGCCGUGUGCCGGGUUUUGUCGUUCUGGGGAACGGAAAGCAUUGCUGCCCUAUAUCUGCGUGCACCGUACUUCUGAGCGCUAUAUCAUCGGUAAUGUAAAUCGGAACGUCGCACCUUUGCCCAGCUCACUUUCGACCGAGAUCUGGCCUCCGUGUGCCUGGAUGAUGUUCUCGCAAAUAUGAAGUCCCAAGCCAAGUCCACGGU